rnacentral:rRNA from 1 species
UAGUCCACGCCGUAAACGAUGGACACUAGUUGUUGGGCAUUAGCUCAGUGACUAAGCGAAAGUGAUAAGUGUCCCACCUGGGGAGUACGAUCGCAAGAUUGAAACUCAAAGGAAUUGACGGGGGCCCGCACAAGCGGUGGAGCAUGUGGUUUAAUUCGAUGAUACGCGAGGAACCUUACCAGGGCUUAAAUGUAGUAUGACAGGUUUAGAGAUAGACUUUUCUUCGGACAUAUUACAAGGUGCUGCAUGGUUGUCGUCAGCUCGUGCCGUGAGGUGUCAGGUUAAGUCCUAUAACGAGCGCAACCCCUGUUGUUAGUUGCCAGCGAGUCAAGUCGGGAACUCUAACAAGACUGCCAGUGCAAACUGUGAGGAAGGUGGGGAUGACGUCAAAUCAUCACGGCCCUUACGUCCUGGGCUACACACGUGCUACAAUGGUAGGGACAGAGAGCAGCCACUUCGCGAGAAGGAGCGAAUCUACAAACCCUAUCACAGUUCGGAUC